rnacentral:rRNA from 1 species
GAUGAACGCUGGCGGCGUGCCUAAUACAUGCAAGUCGAGCGAACGGACGAGAAGCUUGCUUCUCUGAUGUUAGCGGCGGACGGGUGAGUAACACGUGGAUAACCUACCUAUAAGACUGGGAUAACUUCGGGAAACCGGAGCUAAUACCGGAUAAUAUUUUGAACCGCAUGGUUCAAAAGUGAAAGACGGUCUUGCUGUCACUUAUAGAUGGAUCCGCGCUGCAUUAGCUAGUUGGUAAGGUAACGGCUUACCAAGGCAACGAUGCAUAGCCGACCUGAGAGGGUGAUCGGCCACACUGGAACUGAGACACGGUCCAGACUCCUACGGGAGGCAGCAGUAGGGAAUCUUCCGCAAUGGGCGAAAGCCUGACGGAGCAACGCCGCGUGAGUGAUGAAGGUCUUCGGAUCGUAAAACUCUGUUAUUAGGGAAGAACAUAUGUGUAAGUAACUGUGCACAUCUUGACGGUACCUAAUCAGAAAGCCACGGCUAACUACGUGCCAGCAGCCGCGGUAAUACGUAGGUGGCAAGCGUUAUCCGGAAUUAUUGGGCGUAAAGCGCGCGUAGGCGGUUUUUUAAGUCUGAUGUGAAAGCCCACGGCUCAACCGUGGAGGGUCAUUGGAAACUGGAAAACUUGAGUGCAGAAGAGGAAAGUGGAAUUCCAUGUGUAGCGGUGAAAUGCGCAGAGAUAUGGAGGAACACCAGUGGCGAAGGCGACUUUCUGGUCUGUAACUGACGCUGAUGUGCGAAAGCGUGGGGAUCAAACAGGAUUAGAUACCCUGGUAGUCCACGCCGUAAACGAUGAGUGCUAAGUGUUAGGGGGUUUCCGCCCCUUAGUGCUGCAGCUAACGCACUAAGCACUCCGCCUGGGGAGUACGACCGCAAGGUUGAAACUCAAAGGAAUUGACGGGGACCCGCACAAGCGGUGGAGCAUGUGGUUUAAUUCGAAGCAACGCGAAGAACCUUACCAAAUCUUGACAUCCUUUGACAACUCUAGAGAUAGAGCCUUCCCCUUCGGGGGGCAAAGUGACAGGUGGUGCAUGGUUGUCGUCAGCUCGUGUCGUGAGAUGUUGGGUUAAGUCCCGCAACGAGCGCAACCCUUAAGCUUAGUUGCCAUCAUUAAGUUGGGCACUCUAAGUUGACUGCCGGUGACAAACCGGAGGAAGGUGGGGAUGACGUCAAAUCAUCAUGCCCCUUAUGAUUUGGGCUACACACGUGCUACAAUGGACAAUACAAAGGGCAGCGAAACCGCGAGGUCAAGCAAAUCCCAUAAAGUUGUUCUCAGUUCGGAUUGUAGUCUGCAACUCGACUACAUGAAGCUGGAAUCGCUAGUAAUCGUAGAUCAGCAUGCUACGGUGAAUACGUUCCCGGGUCU